rnacentral:lncRNA from 1 species
ACAUUGUCAGUUAUAAGUCUUUGGCAUUAUCCUUCAACACAUAUCAAAAUUGAUUAAUAAGUGUUUUGUCAUUCGAGUUCACGUUGCAAGCAAGGUUUUGGAAUCCAACAACAUAUGUCAUGGCUGACCAUGAUCCUUGCCAUAAAGAUAAGAGCUUGGUCUUUGCUAUUCUUUUUCAAUCACUUUUUCUAAAUAUGGCCAUAAACACUUCUAUGAAUGAAUUCAAAUCAUAAAGUAGUCACAAUUCUUUUUCUAUUAAAGGUGCAAAUCAAAAAAGAAAACUUCUUGAUAGAAGUGCACCUAUAAAUCCGACUUGAGUAAAUCCAUCAAGGUAUUGGAAUAAAUGUAACUUUACAUAUAG